UCCCCGCGGCCCGGGCGGUCCGCCCGCUUCCCUCCGGGUUCGGUUUUCCGCGGGCCGCACAGGCUGCGCCCCAAUCCCGUCAUGCCUGCCGGCCCAGGCUUUGAGAGAAACUUUCCAGAAGCGCCCGGCCGAGUGACCCCGUGCUGGAGAAGGAGGCGGCGCGGGAGCGGGAAAGACAGCGGAAUCCUGUUUCCCUUCCCGAAACGCACAAGUUCGGGACCGCUCCCCGGCUCCCCCCGUACCUCUCGAGUGUGGGAAGAGGGAGCGAUCUUGGGAUCCUGCUUUUGCACCGUAUGCCACAGUGGGGAGCUGAGGGGGAAAAGCAGAGACUCUGGAGAAGGGACACUUCCAUCCCCGCCGAGUCACCCGGGGAGGGUGGGCACUGCCGGGCCAGCUCCCAGGCGCCCCGCCGCCGGCCACGCAGCUCUCGAGGACGCAGCGAGUACUCCGGACCCCCAGGACCUGGGGCCGGGCCAGAGCCCUUGUCUGGGUAGCAAGCACUGGGCCAUCUUUUGCAAGACUUUCCACCCUUCCCCUCCAGGGACAACUCCUUUCCAGAGAGGGACCUCUUGGAUUUUGGAGGAGGGCGCAGCGGGCGUGAGGCCCCGGCGUGGCGGGCUCCGUGCCGGAGGGGGACGCAGCCGCGACAGAUGCUGCCCUCGCCGGCCAGAAGGGAGCUGCAGCGGGGGACAGGAUCCGGGGCGGGGGGCACCGCGCCACACCGGGAGGAGACCGUUCCUGGGCUCUCAUUCGAGCAAACAAAGCCCGGAACCUCUGGUGCCAGCGGCCGCGAAAGCCUGGAUGUCCCCAAGAGGCAGGGCGCACGGGUACCGGGGCCAUUACAAGUUUCCCGCACUCCACAGAGCUCAGCCCAGACCCCGAGCGCACAACAAAAGAUUCUCUUCGCUUUCCCACCGUCUCUGCGGAGCCCCUUCUCCCACCACGGAACCCACCCCUGGUGCUGGGCACCAACAGCGCUCUUCCAGCCAACGUCCUCCAGCCCUUGAGGGCACAACCCUUGCCCCCGCCUUUGCACCAGGACUGGGCGCUCCUGAGAAUCCCACCCUCUCGGGGCCUCUCUGCUCCCUCCCUGCUGGCCCGAAAGUGAGCCCGGGCCCCGGGCCCUACACACGCGUCCCCCUGCCAGGCAGCACCGGGCGGCGCCGGGCGUGUGCGCCGCGCGGGUGGGGAAGCUCGAAGCGCGG
rnacentral:lncRNA from 1 species